rnacentral:rRNA from 1 species
GUCCACGCCGUAAACGGUGGGCGCUAGAUGUGGGGACCUUCCACGGUUUCUGCGUCGCAGCUAACGCAUUAAGCGCCCCGCCUGGGGAGUACGGUCGCAAGACUAAAACUCAAAGGAAUUGACGGGGGCCCGCACAAGCGGCGGAGCAUGUUGCUUAAUUCGACGCAACGCGAAGAACCUUACCAAGGCUUGACAUCGCCGGAAAACUCGCAGAGAUGCGGGGUCCUUUUGGGCCGGUGACAGGUGGUGCAUGGCUGUCGU